UAUAUUAUAUAUAUACAUACAUGAAGUGUCAUCAUCAUCAGUGGGAUAUAUUAGUGAUUGAUUAGGAUAUUUUCUGAUUAAACAUCAGUGAUUGAUUAAGAAUUUACGAAUUUGCGCAGAAAGAAGCUUCGGACAUUCCUGCUAUAGAAAAUCUCAAGGACUUCACACCGCCGCGAAAAAAGAAAAAAGCAUCGGUUGUGGUCUAUGCAUUGCCGGAA